UUUUAAAUAACAUUUGUUUCUUUAGUAGAGCAAGGCAAACUCCCCAGUCCUUUUUUUAAAGAUUUGUUUAUUUUCUGUGUAUUAGUGUUUUGCCUGGAUGUGUAUAUAUGUACCAUGACAUGUGUGUCUGGUGCUUGCAGAAGCCAGAAGAGAGUAUUGGAGUAACUUCCAACUGGAAUUAGGAAUGGUUGUGAGCUGCCCACCAGGUGGGUGCUGGGAUCCAAACCUCUGUUUUCUUAAAGAAUAUAAGAUUUCAAAAAAAAAAUUUUUUUUAAAGACACGAUUUCUCUGUGUAACAGUCCUUGCUAUCCUGGUACUCUGUUGUCUAGGCUGGCCUUGAACUGGCCUUAGAGAGAUCCACCUAUCUAUGCCUCCCACAUGCUGGGAUUAAAGGCAUGUGCCAGCACUAGCUGGCAAAAAACCUUGAGAGUCGUAGUUACUCAUUUUUUAAAAAUUAACUGUUAAGACUAUUAUGUAUAUUAAUGUGCAUUAAAUGCAUGCCUGGUACCUGAAGGAGGGCAGAAAGGGCAUCAGGAGUUACCCGUGGUUGUGCAUUUCUGUGUGAGUGCUAGCAGAAUGUGCUCUUGACUGAUGAACUGUUGUUAGGCAUGGUGGCAUCCCUAUAAUUCCAAUGGAAGCUCUCCUGGAGUUCACCUGGUCCACAUAGUGAGUGUCAGGCCAGCCAGGGCUAUGUAUGAGACCCUAAUGAAAAUUGUGGUAGGAGAAUCUACCUCAGAAAUUCACCUGCUGCCUGUCGAGUGCUGGGAUGAAAGGUGUGCUCCACCACGCCCGGAGAAUUUGCCUUUUAAUAUACUUUCUACUUCAGUAGUUGUUAAACUUCAUUGAAUGUGAAUAUGAGGCAUUUAAGAAGAUAAGUAUUAAUUUUGCACAAGAUAAAUUUACUUUGUUCAGAGAUGAUCUUUCCAGGUAUAUUAGUGACUGGAGGCUGUAUAUGGACCUUGUGACUUAUGUCCUAGGUGUUUUGAGGUUUCUUUACAUUCAGUAUCGUGAACUUUGAUCCUGCUUUGGGAAUCUUAUUUGCUUUUAUCUGGUUAAUGAAAUGACUAAAAUAGAGUAUCAGAGUUUUCCUACUUGAGGUACUAUUUUUAUCCUGCUGAUUUUUUGUUGUUGUUGUUUGUUUUGGGACAGGGUCUCUACAUAACCCUGGCUGGUCUGGCACUCACAGUGUAGACCAGACUGGCCUCAAACUGACAAGUGAUUCACCAGUCUCUGCCUCCUGAGUGCUGGAGUUAAAGGCAGGGAUUACCAUACCCUGCUGUCUUAUCUUUAUGUAUUCAAUCCCUGAAUUAAUCAAAUGUUAUUUCUUUUAUCAGAGGUAAUCUUUUCUCCUCUGUUCACUCUCUUAAGUUUCUAAGUAUAUAAUGCCUUAUAUUACAAUAUCUUAUUUUUUGUCUUGUAUUAUUAGUAAUUAGGCUGCUUCUGAUCAAAAUGUGAGGUUUUUUUUUCUUCUUAAAUUUAUGUUACACAUAUGGAUGUUUUGUCUGCAUGUAUGUCUAUAUCAUGUGCAUAGCUAGUGCCUGUAAAGGCCAGAAGAAGGAAAAGCCAGAAGAGGGUUAUUGGAAACCUAGAAGUGGAGUUACAGAGAGCUGUGGACUAUGGUCUGGAAAGGUAGCUAGUGCUCUUAACCACUGAGCCAUCUUUCCAGACCCAACUAUGUUUCUUUAUAAUCAGAGAGCAUCUAGUGUGAUAACAGGCUUUCAGUAACUCAUGCAGCCCUGACAUUGUGGUACAUAUAGGUUAUCUCAGCAUUCAGGAAACAAAGGCAGGAGAAUAAAAAGUUACAGGCCAAUCUCAACUACAUAAGGAGUACUCUCAAUAAAAGCAAAACAGAACAACAAAAUCAAAGGCUGAAGGUGUAGUGGUAAUACACCAUGUACAUGGCCCUGGAUAAAAUAAAUUCAGUAUAGAAUUGAUAGAAUCAGAGAUGCAGGCGAAUUCUGUUAUUUCCUUUAAAUUUAGCCUUUUCUAAACUUUGGUUCUUAUUUGGGAAGUGGAACAGUAUUAGCUCUUGAGAUUUCAUAUGAGAAAGAUGCAAUGUUCACUUAAAUCAGAAAAAAAAAUCUGUUUGGUGGAGGGAAUUUAUUUGUGUUAGAUAUAGAUGAAACACUUUACAAUAUAAAGUAUUAAGGUCGGUGGGAUUGUUUCAUUUUGUUAUAGACAGAAUCUCUCUAGGUAGCCCUGGCUAUCCUGGAACCUGAUAUAUAGACCAGACUAGUCUUGGACUCACAGAGAACUCUACCUGCCUUUGUCUCCCGAGUGCUGGGACUAAAAGUGUGCACCCCUGGCUCAGUUGAACUGUUUUAUUCUUCUGCUUAAAAACUGUAUGGUGGUAAUUCUCUCCCAGAUACCCUAACUAGCUAACCUCUCACCUCCUCUUCCCUCCUUUCCUCUCCCCUCCCCCACCCCUCCUUAUUCCCUUCCUUAUCCUAUGUAGCCCUGGGCUGGGAUUAAAGAUGUAUACUACCAACACCCAACUUUAGGAUGACCUUGAGUUCUCAUCCUUCCUUUACUUCCCAAGUGCUGGGACCGUGCAUUGUCUUUGGAUGCUGUGGCCUCCUGUACAGAUAACAAAACAUUGAAACUGAAUGGAUGCACAUCUGUAAUACAACUGCUUUGGAAGCUGAGGCAAAAAGAACAUACAUUGAAGGUUUAAGAAGACCCCUAAAUAACAUAAAAUAAGAUGAAACUUAAGACAAAAUGCUGGGAAUAUAUAACGUGCUUGCCUAUUGUGUUAGAGGCCUGGGUUCAUUCUCCAGUACUGGGAGGUGGAGUGUCGCCUCUGAGGAUAUUUAUUCAAAUUAACUGACUUUUGUUUUUCAAGCUCUUCAUCUGUAGUGGACAGGUUUCCAUAAAAUUGAGACAUUUAACAAGUAAGGUUUGUUUAAGAGAUUACAUCCUAACAGUGAGUCUUGCCAGAUGUGUCAAUCUUUCCUUGUUGUUGCUCGUGCUUAUGAACGCUUGGAUCUCUAUACUGAAGAGGCUGUUAGAACACUGCUUAAACCAGAAGUCCUAACACUUGGGAGGUGGAGGUAGGAAGAUUGCUGAAUUUGAGGCCUGUGUGGUCUAGAGUGAUGGAGUUCUAGGACAGCUAGGGCUACACAGAGAAACCCUUUCUCC
rnacentral:lncRNA from 1 species